CCUACGGGGGGCUGCAGUGGGGAAUAUUGGACAAUGGGGGGAACCCUGAUCCAGCCAUGCCGCGUGUGUGAAGAAGGCCCUCGGGUUGUAAAGCACUUUCAGUGAGGAAGAACGCCUUGUGGUUAAUACCCAUCAGGAAAGACAUCACUCACAGAAGAAGCACCGGCUAACUCCGUGCCAGCAGCCGCGGUAAUACGGAGGGUGCGAGCGUUAAUCGGAAUUACUGGGCGUAAAGCGCGCGUAGGUGGCUUGAUAAGCCGGUUGUGAAAGCCCCGGGCUCAACCUGGGAACGGCAUCCGGAACUGUCAAGCUAGAGUGCAGGAGAGGAAGGUAGAAUUCCCGGUGUAGCGGUGAAAUGCGUAGAGAUCGGGAGGAAUACCAGUGGCGAAGGCGGCCUUCUGGACUGACACUGACACUGAGGUGCGAAAGCGUGGGUAGCAAACAGGAUUAGAUACCCCAGUAGUC
rnacentral:rRNA from 1 species